rnacentral:rRNA from 1 species
UAAUUGAAGAGUUUGAUCAUGGCUCAGAUUGAACGCUGGCGGCAGGCCUAACACAUGCAAGUCGAGCGGUAGCACAGGGAGCUUGCUCCUGGGUGACGAGCGGCGGACGGGUGAGUAAUGUCUGGGAAACUGCCUGAUGGAGGGGGAUAACUACUGGAAACGGUAGCUAAUACCGCAUAACGUCUACGGACCAAAGUGGGGGACCUUCGGGCCUCAUGCCAUCAGAUGUGCCCAGAUGGGAUUAGCUAGUAGGUGGGGUAAUGGCUCACCUAGGCGACGAUCCCUAGCUGGUCUGAGAGGAUGACCAGCCACACUGGAACUGAGACACGGUCCAGACUCCUACGGGAGGCAGCAGUGGGGAAUAUUGCACAAUGGGCGCAAGCCUGAUGCAGCCAUGCCGCGUGUGUGAAGAAGGCCUUCGGGUUGUAAAGCACUUUCAGCGAGGAGGAAGGGU